UGUGUUUGCCCUCUCUCCAGCCCGGGCUCUGUCUCUGUCCGACAAAGAGAGGUUCAUUUUGAGUGGCUCUGCAGACUGCAACGUGAAGAUCUGGGCCCUGAGCGUCGGGCAGUGUGUGAAGUCUCUCUACACGUUCAACGCCGUGACCGCACUGUGCUUUGUGCCAGAAGGAGACGGCUACAUCGUCACUGGAUCAGAUGCGGGGAAAGUUCAGGCCUGGAGCUGGCACACUUUCCAAAACUGCCAGUCCAUCAACGCUCACCAGGAAGCAGUCACCUCCAUCCAGGCUCAGGGUCCGCUGGUGUUCGGCGGCUCGGCUGACGGGGGGGUGUCGGUGUGGGAGAACAGGUGCUCGGACCGAGACCCUCUGCGGCUGCUGCACCACUGGGGGGGGGAGGUGACGGG